GGAAGGAUCAUUAACACGUUAUGUAAAACGUUUUUAUCAAGCUAAAAACCUGUGAACUUUUUUUUUGACGUGAGGGUUUUCAAAAGGUAAUGAACUGUCCCUUUGAAGAAGGCUUUCCUCUCGCGAGGCAAAAAGCGUUUCACAAAGAAGACAGAUCAUUCCCUUUUUUGCCCCGCCUCAAUUUUCAAACCACUUUCACUUUUUUUUUCUUCCGGCUUCUUUUUGUGUAGUUGUUGUUGUCGUUGUUGCGCAUGCCGCAGCAGCAGCAGCUUACUUAGCAAGCCGGAAGUGUGCAAAUGUGUUUUGAAAGAAAUCUGCUUCUUUUUUUUUUUGUCUGCUUUUUUCUGUCUCAGCAACUGAGACAGAGAGAAACUCAUUUUAAAAAAAAGAGCAGGUGAAUAGAAGCGGCUUGUUGCUGUGCUGCGUUUCAUCAUGAACGCACAGCCAGCCACUCUUCUAUGAACCAAAUGCUGAACAACUCUUAGCAACGGAUAUCUUGGUUCCCGCAACGAUGAAGAACGCAGCAAACUGCGAUACGUAUUGCGAAUUGCAGAAUUCAGUGAAUCAUCAAAUUUUCGAACGCACACGGCGCUCUCGGGUAUCCCUGGGAGCACGUUCUCCUCAGUGUCGCUUUGCACCCCAACUCGGCUGCGUGUUUGUGUGUUCUGAAAAAGACACACUUGCCAAGUGGUCGGAGAAUGAGCUGUCUCGCUCUGCUUGCAGAGCGAGUCGCUUGAAAUGCUCUGCUGCACUCUGUUGCCGCGGCCUGUUCAACGCUUUCACUUUUUUUUGGGCACGAUGGAACCGACCAAAAAAAAGAGAGAGAGAAAAUCCGUUGACCGGUUGAUAAUGCUCUUCCUCGGUGAAGGCAGUCAUCCGUGUCUUUCGACAUUUUCUCUUUCUCUUUCGGUUCCGGGCGGGCGACCAGAAAAAGAGUUGGAUCGGGCACUUCUUUUUUGUCACUAGACAAAAAAGAACAACAGCGGUGCCUCUUUCAGCAACCCCACAACAAACCAAACCUUCAACACAUAGCAUUUAGACCUGAGGUGGAGCGAGGAGACCCGCUGAAUUUAAGCAUAUUAUUAAGCGGAGGAAAAGAAACUAACCAGGAUUCCCCUAGUAACGGCGAGUGAAGCGGGAAGAGCUCAACAUUGGAAUCGGUGUCCCUGUCGGACUCCGAGUUGUAAUCUAGAGACGUGCCGUCAGCGUGCGACCUGGGUAUAACUCUUUUGGAACAAGGGAUCAUAGAGGGUGAGAAUCCCGUCUGUGACCCGGAGUUCGCCGCGUACGACGCAUGUUCGAAGAGUCGAGUUGCUUGGGACUGCAGCUCUAAAUGGGUGGUAUACUUCAUCUAAGGCUAAAUACUGGCGGGAGACCGAUAGCGAACAAGUAGCGUGAGCGAAAGGUGAAAAAAGAACUUUGAAAAGAGAGUUAAACAGUACUUGAAAUUGCUAAGAGGUAAGUUAUGGAAACCAAGUCACUGCGGCGGGUCAUAUUUACCACUCGUCUUGGAAGGGCGGUUGCGCGCGGAGCUUCACGGCCCGCACCGCGCAGCCGCCGGACCUUUGGCGGGUGGGUCCUGUGGCCCGUCUUUGUGCGUGUCAGAAUCAGUUUUGUUUGCUCGCCGGAGAAUCCCGUUGGCGGAAGGUGGGACUGUAUGGGUUUCGGCUCAUGCAUUCCGUUAUAGCCGUCCGGGCAUACGAGUGGGCCAGACUGAGGGUAUGAAAGAGAAGGCACUUUUUAGAGCGUGCCGCGGCCUGCGCGGCCAUCUUGGCUUGGACAGCAAAGCUGUGCGGCUAGAAAAGCGGUGUACUGCCAGCGGGCCACGCUUCUCGUGCUCUUCGCGAUUCUGACGAAAUGGUUUUCAUUGACCCGUCUCGAAACACGGACCAAGGAGUCUAACAUAUAUGCGAGUAUUUGGGUGCGUGAAACCCUGAUGCGCAAUGAAAGUGAAGCGAGCUCUUCUUGUAGCUCGUGAGGUAGGAACCGUUGGGGCCAAUUUUUUUUCCCAGCGGGGCACUAUCGACCGAUCGAUCACUUGUGGUAGAUUUGAGUAAGAGCAUAUCUGUUGGGACCCGAAAGAUGGUGAUCUAUGCCUGAACAGGGUGAAGCCAGGGGAAACUCUGGUGGAAGCUCGUAGCGAUGCUGACGUGCAAAUCGUUCGUCUGAUUUGGGUAUAGGGGCGAAAGACUAAUCGAACCAUCUAGUAGCUGGUUCCCUC
rnacentral:misc_RNA from 1 species